AUUGAACGCUGGCGGCAGGCCUAACACAUGCAAGUCGAGCGAGGACUUCGGUCCUAGCGGCGGACGGGUGAGUAACGCGUAGAUAACCUGUCUUCAUGUCUGGAAUAAUACGCCGAAAGGGGUACUAAUACCGGAUACUCUUGCUUUAUAUAAGUUUUGCAAGCAAAGGUGGCCUCUGUAUAUGCUACUGCAUGAAGAGGGGUCUGCGUACCAUUAGCUAGUAGGUGGGGUAAUGGCCUACCUAGGCGACGGUGGUUAGCGGGUCUGAGAGGAUGAUCCGCCACACUGGCACUGGAACACGGGCCAGACUCCUACGGGAGGCAGCAGUGAGGAAUAUUGCGCAAUGGGGGCAACCCCGACGCAGCGACGCCGCGUGAGUGAGGAAGGCCUUCGGGUCGUAAAGCUCUGUCAAAGGGAAAGAAGUGCAUGAUGGCUAAUACCUGUCAUGUUUGACGGUACCCUUAAAGGAAGCACCGGCUAACUCCGUGCCAGCAGCCGCAGUAAUAC
rnacentral:rRNA from 1 species